CCUUAUCAAGAGUGGCGGAGGGACAGGCCCUGUGAUGCCCGGCAACCUGUGGCGUAAGCUGCAAGGUGCUAAUUCCUGCGGUGAAGCCCCCUUUUUUGUGGGGUACCGAAAGAUGAG
rnacentral:ncRNA from 1 species